UGCAACGACGAAGAACCUUACCUACCCUUGACAUCCUGCGAAUUUGGUAGAGAUACCUUAGUGCCUUCGGAACGCAGAGACAGGUGCUGCAUGGCUGUCGUCAGCUCGUGUUGUGAAAUGUUGGGUUAAGUCCCGUAACGAGCGCAACCCUUGUCCUUAUUUGCCAGCGCGUAAUGGCGGGAACUCUAAGGAGACUGCCGGUGACAAACCGGAGGAAGGUGGGGGACGACGUCAAGUCAUCAUGGCCCUUACGGGUAGGGCUACACACGUGCUACAAUGGCCGGUACAAAGGGCUGCGAACUCGCGAGAGUCAGCGAAUCCCUUAAAGCCGGUCUCAGUCCGGAUCGGAGUCUGCAACUCGACUCCGUGAAGUCGGAAUCGCUAGUAAUCGUGAAUCAGAAUGUCACGGUGAAUACGUUCCCGGGCCUU
rnacentral:rRNA from 1 species